rnacentral:misc_RNA from 1 species
GUAUUGAUCGCGUGUGACCGCAAAAAUAAACAUUCUAGACUGUAUCAAGUUUUAUGUGAAAACGCGAGCCCUCCCGCAAAGGGGGACCCACGCGGUGAUGCACAAAAGGGGUGAGAUGGAUUGUGUGAGAACGCUCGGGCGUGCACAACCUUUGAAGGUCAGCGACAGCCCUUGCGCCUCGGUUGUACGAUAAUGAUCCUUCCGCAGGUUCACCUACGGAAA